rnacentral:rRNA from 1 species
GACGAACGCUGGCGGCGUGCUUAACACAUGCAAGUCGAACGGAAAGGCCCUGCUUUUGUGGGGUGCUCGAGUGGCGAACGGGUGAGUAACAAGUGAGUAACCUGCCCUUGACUUUGGGAUAACUUCAGGAAACUGGGGCUAAUACCGGAUAGGAGCUCCUGCUGCAUGGUGGGGGUUGGAAAGUUUCGGCGGUUGGGGAUGGACUCGCGGCUUAUCAGCUUGUUGGUGGGGUAGUGGCUUACCAAGGCUUUGACGGGUAGCCGGCCUGAGAGGGUGACCGGCCACAUUGGGACUGAGAUACGGCCCAGACUCCUACGGGAGGCAGCAGUGGGAAAUAUUGCACAAUGGGCGGAAGCCUGAUGCAGCAACGCCGCGUGCGGGAUGACGGCCUUCGGGUUGUAAACCGCUUUCGCCUGUGACGAAGCGUGAGUGACGGUAAUGGGUAAAGAAGCACCGGCUAACUACGUG